AGUGAACGCUGGCGGUAGGCCUAACACAUGCAAGUCGAACGGCAGCACAGGAGAGCUUGCUCUCUGGGUGGCGAGUGGCGGACGGGUGAGGAAUACAUCGGAAUCUACCUUUUCGUGGGGGAUAACGUAGGGAAACUUACGCUAAUACCGCAUACGACCUACGGGUGAAAGUGGGGGACCGCAAGGCCUCACGCGAUUAGAUGAGCCGAUGUCCGAUUAGCUAGUUGGCGGGGUAAUGGCCCACCAAGGCGACGAUCGGUAGCUGGUCUGAGAGGAUGAUCAGCCAAACUGGAACUGAGACACGGUCCAGACUCCUACGGGAGGCAGCAGUGGGGAAUAUUGGACAAUGGGCGCAAGCCUGAUCCAGCCAUACCGCGUGGGUGAAGAAGGCCUUCGGGUUGUAAGCCCUUUUGUUGGGAAAGAAAUCCUGUCGAUUAAUACUCGGUGGGGAUGACGGUACCCAAAGAAUAAGCACCGGCUAACUUCGUGCCAGCCGCCGCCGUAAAAC
rnacentral:rRNA from 1 species